GAAACCUCUUCUCCUAUAAAUACGCUUCGCGUUUCGUCCCCCCCAAUAAUUGUGUUCGGGGUUUGGUGGUCUCUUUCCGUGUGCUCUGUCGAUCGGUCGAGUUCGCUGAAAUCGGGCAUCAAACCCUAACCCUAGAUCCGCGGCCAUGUCUUCCAAGCAAGGCGGCAAGGCGAAGCCUUUGAAGCAACCAAAGGCGGAAAAGAAGGAGUACGACGAGAGUGAUUUGGCCUAUCUUCAAAAGAAGAAGGAUGAAGAGAAGGCGUUGAAGGAGCUUAAAGCUAAGGCUUCGCAGAAGGGAUCCUUGGGAGGAUCUGGACUCAAGAAGAGUGGCAAGAAGUGAGGGUUGUCUCCAACAAUGAUUGGAAUACAGAAACAUUAGAUUUGGCACCGUGAUUACAUCUAUAUCGAAACUCGUUUAGGUCAAGUAUGACCGUCCCAUGUCGUUCAACUUGUCUUUGUGCUUGUGUUUUAUCAGAGACUAAUCGGACUACUUAAAGCUCUGUGUCA